rnacentral:lncRNA from 1 species
CCGGGACCCGUCAGUCAGAGCCGCUCGGUGGGCGGGCUUUGCGCGGGGGCGGGGCCUGAGCGAGGGGCGGGGCUUGUCCACCUCCCCACCCGCACCACCUCCCCUCCACUGAGAGCUUCCACCAGCCGCUCGGCUGUCAGGCGCGGUGGCCAAGUGGAGUUCAGCCCCUCCUCUACCGGUUCGUGGCCAGAGCACUGUAACUCUUUCCAGAGGCCCCGCACAGCUGCUGAACUCCCUGCAUACUCUACCCUUCAACUCCGGUCUGGAUCCCGCGACGAAGGCAAGCCUUCUCUGUGAACUUUCCUUCCCUACAACGUGCGUGCGUGUCGCCGCUUUCUCCUGCUCAGCCAACUGCCCUCCCCUCCCCCAGGCGCCCACACCUUUCUCAGCCUUGACGUUUUAUAUCAGGCCCCACAUAGUUGUGACACUUCCAAGUCUUUUGUAAGGUAAACAGCCAGAUAUCAUGUGACAGGACGUCCAGUGCUUCAGAUUCCUGAUCCCAUUUUUUUUUUGUUGUUUUAGGAUAUGGUCUCCUGUGUGUGUCCUGCCGGGAUUACUGAGGUUGGUUUAGCACCAACUAGCUUCUCUCUUCAAAACUAUACUAAAGGCUGGGUCCGGGCAAGCUGGGAGAAGUCACAGAGGGGAAUACCUCUCACCUUGCCAAUGUGGAAACUGAAGCCCACGGGGAGGGAAUCACCUGUGGAUGUCUUCGUGGGCGGUGAGGAAGUGAAGAAGGUUCCAUCUGUAGACAAACCUAGUGAUCCGAGUGACGUUUCCUGCAGUAAACGGUCCCUCCCUGGUGUUCCUCCCUCAUAAAAUUAUCUGGGCUAAGAGAAGACAUCAAGGUAAACUGCUAUAUAUGAGGGGUGUGUGAACCCCAUGCUGCCCAUGGCAACAGGUUCUUUGUAACUCUUUGUUCUCUCUGAAC